UUUGGCAAUGAAUGGCAUCUUUUUACUUAACCCUGGUUAAGCCCAGUCUGGACUGCCUUGGGAGGCAAGAAGGAUUGGGCAUGGUUAGUACUUGGAUGAGGGAUUUCCACAGAAUACUAGGUAUUGCAAGGG
rnacentral:rRNA from 12 species